UAAUACGGGAGGCAGCAGUGGGGAAUCUUGGACAAUGGGGGCAACCCUGAUCCAGCCAUGCCGCGUGAGUGAUGAAGGCCUUAGGGUCGUAAAGCUCUUUCGCCUGUGAAGAUAAUGACGGUAGCAGGUAAAGAAACCCCGGCUAACUCCGUGCCAGCAGCCGCGGUAAUACGGAGGGGGUUAGCGUUGUUCGGAAUUACUGGGCGUAAAGCGCACGUAGGCGGAUCGGAAAGUUGGGGGUGAAAUCCCGGGGCUCAACCCCGGAACUGCCUCCAAAACUAUCGGUCUAGAGUUCGAGAGAGGUGAGUGGAAUUCCGAGUGUAGAGGUGAAAUUCGUAGAUAUUCGGAGGAACACCAGUGGCGAAGGCGGCUCACUGGCUCGAUACUGACGCUGAGGUGCGAAAGUGUGGGGAGCAAACAGGAUUAGAUACCCUGGUAGUCCACACCGUAAACGAUGAAUGCCAGUCGUCGGGUAGCAUGCUAUUCGGUGACACACCUAACGGAUUAAGCAUUCCGCCU
rnacentral:rRNA from 1 species